AUGGGUUUGAUGACUAUUUCUCCUGAUAAUUGAAGAUGAACAUAUUGUGCGCUUUUGUUUAUCUUAAGAGAAAUCAAACCAUAUAAUUUUACUCAU